AUUAGCUAGUUGGUGAGGUAACGGCUCACCAAGGCUUCGAUCGGUAGCUGGUCUGAGAGGACGGCCAGCCACACUGGCACUGAAAUACGGGCCAGACUCCUACGGGAGGCAGCAGUGGGGAAUUUUGGGCAAUGGGCGCAAGCCUGACCCAGCAACGCCGCGUGAGGGAGGAAAUCCUUCGGGAUGUAAACCUCGCAAGCAGGGGAAGAGUGCUUUCGACCUAAUACGUCGAAAGAAGGACGGUACCCUGCGUAAGCCACGGCUAACUACGUG
rnacentral:rRNA from 1 species